rnacentral:rRNA from 1 species
CCUGCCCAAUGGUUUUUAAUUAAAUAGAUAUAAAAAUCUUAAAAAAAAUUAAAAGGACGCAGUAACCUGACUGUGAUAAUGUAGCAUAAUCACUCGCCAUUUAAUUGAUGGAUAGUAUGAAUGGUUAAACGAAUUCUUCACUGUCUUAAAAAGAGAUUUCAUGAAAUUUAAAUAAUAGUAAAGAUGCUAUUUAAAAUUGUAAGACGAAAAGACCCUAUAGAGCUUAACUAUAAUUUUUCUCAAAAAAGAAGGAAAUAAAUUCCUAAAAAAGAAAAACUGGUAGUUUAGUUGGGGCGACUAUCUUCUAAAAAUAACGAAGAUAAGCAAUGUUAAUAAAAAAUUUAUUGUAUAAUCCAUAAAUUUAACAAUUACAAAAGUAGGCUAUUAUGACCCGUUAAAUUCAAAUAAAAGAAUUAACGAUCAAUAAAUAAAAGCUACCUUAGGGAUAACAGGAUAAUUUUGUUCUAGAGACCCUAUCGAAAACAAAGUUUGUCACCUCUAUGUUGAAUUAAGAUACCCAGAUAAUGCAGAAGUUAUCAAAGGUAGGUCUGUUCGACCCUUAAA